GCUGGCGUAGCUCAACGGUAGAGCAUCUCAUUUGUAAUGAGGUGGUUGGGGGUUCAAAUCCUCUCGCCAGCUCCA
rnacentral:tRNA from 1 species